ACCCAGCUGACUCAGUAGAUAGAGCAUGUGACUCUUGAUCUCAGGGUUGUGGGUUUGAGCCCCACAGUGGGUG
rnacentral:tRNA from 1 species